GACGAACGCUGGCGGCGUGCUUAACACAUGCAAGUCGAACGGAAAGGCCCUGCUUUUGUGGGGUGCUCGAGUGGCGAACGGGUGAGUAACACGUGAGUAACCUGCCCUUGACUUUGGGAUAACUUCAGGAAACUGGGGCUAAUACCGGAUAGGAGCUCCUGCUGCAUGGUGGGGGUUGGAAAGUUUCGGCGGUUGGGGAUGGACUCGCGGCUUAUCAGCUUGUUGGUGGGGUAGUGGCUUACCAAGGCUUUGACGGGUAGCCGGCCUGAGAGGGUGACCGGCCACAUUGGGACUGAGAUACGGCCCAGACUCCUACGGGAGGCAGCAGUGGGGAAUAUUGCACAAUGGGCGGAAGCCUGAUGCAGCAACGCCGCGUGCGGGAUGACGGCCUUCGGGUUGUAAACCGCUUUCGCCUGUGACGAAGCGUGAGUGACGGUAAUGGGUAAAGAAGCACCGGCUAACUACGUGCCAGCAGCCGCGGUGAUACGUAGGGUGCGAGCGUUGUCCGGAUUUAUUGGGCGUAAAGGGCUCGUAGGUGGUUGAUCGCGUCGGAAGUGUAAUCUUGGGGCUUAACCCUGAGCGCGCUUUCGAUACGGGUUGACUUGAGGAAGGUAGGGGAGAAUGGAAUUCCUGGUGGAGCGGUGGAAUGCGCAGAUAUCAGGAGGAACACCAGUGGCGAAGGCGGUUCUCUGGGCCUUUCCUGACGCUGAGGAGCGAAAGCGUGGGGAGCGAACAGGCUUAGAUACCCUGGUAGUCCACGCUGUAAACGGUGGGUACUAGGUGUGGGGUCCAUUCCACGGGUUCCGUGCCGUAGCUAACGCUUUAAGUACCCCGCCUGGGGAGUACGGCCGCAAGGCUAAAACUCAAAGGAAUUGACGGGGCCCCGCACAAGCGGCGGAGCAUGCGGAUUAAUUCGAUGCAACGCGUAGAACCUUACCUGGGUUUGACAUGGAUCGGGAGCGCUCAGAGAUGGGUGUGCCUCUUUUAGGGUCGGUUCACAGGUGGUGCAUGGCUGUCGUCAGCUCGUGUCGUGAGAUGUUGGGUUAAGUCCCGCAACGAGCGCAACCCUUGUUCACUGUUGCCAGCACGUUAUGGUGGGGACUCAGUGGAGACCGCCGGGGUCAACUCGGAGGAAGGUGGGGAUGACGUCAAGUCAUCAUGCCCCUUAUGUCCAGGGCUUCACGCAUGCUACAAUGGCUGGUACAGAGAGUGGCGAGCCUGUGAGGGUGAGCGAAUCUCGGAAAGCCGGUCUCAGUUCGGAUUGGGGUCUGCAACUCGACCUCAUGAAGUCGGAGUCGCUAGUAAUCGCAGAUCGGCAACGCUGCGGUGAAUACGUUCCCGGG
rnacentral:rRNA from 1 species